CUCUUGAGAAAUUUCCAGCAAUGGUGUGCAUAAAUCAACAGUUGUGUGCUGUUUGCUGCUUGCUGCUUGCACCGAUGGACCUCUCCUUCAAGCCCCUUUUGGCCCAGGGGGUGACAGGAUGACUGACAGGCAGAGGAGUCCGUCUCGGAACCUCUGGCAUUGUAAAGAGUUGACCUUAUUGAG